rnacentral:rRNA from 1 species
CACAUGUGACGUAGUUUGAUCAUGGCUCAGAGCGAACGCUAGCGGCAGGCUUAACACAUGCAAGUCGAACGAAGUUUUUCGGAACUUAGUGGCGAACGGGUGAGUAACACGUAGGUAAUGUACCCUUUGGUGGAGGAUAACUCAGGGAAACCUGAGCUAAUACUGCAUAUGUCCUUCGGGAUAAAAGUCUUCGGACGCCUUAGGAGCAGCCUGCGGCCCAUUAUCUAAUCCUAGUUGGUAGGGUAACGGCCUACCAAGGGUACGAUGGGUAGCUGGUCUGAGAGGAUGAUCAGCCACACUGGGACUGAGACACGGCCCAGACUCCUACGGGAGGCAGCAGUGGGGAAUAUUGCGCAAUGGGGGAAACCCUGACGCAGCCAUGCCGCGUGUGUGAUGAAGGCCCUCGGGUCGUAAAGCACUGUCGGGAGGGACGAAGAUCUGACGGUACCUCGCAAGAAAGCACCGGCUAACUCCGUG